rnacentral:rRNA from 1 species
AUUGAACGCUGGCGGCAUGCUUUACACAUGCAAGUCGAACGGCAGCGCGGGCUUCGGCCUGGCGGCGAGUGGCGAACGGGUGAGUAAUGCAUCGGAACGUGCCCAGUAGUGGGGGAUAGCCUGGCGAAAGCCGGAUUAAUACCGCAUACGACCUGAGGGUGAAAGCGGGGGACCGAAAGGCCUCGCGCUAUUGGAUCGGCCGAUGUCGGAUUAGCUAGUUGGUGGGGUAAAGGCUUACCAAGGCGACGAUCCGUAGCUGGUCUGAGAGGACGACCAGCCACACUGAGACUGGACCACGGCCCAGACUCCUACGGGAGGCAGCAGUGGGGAAUUUUGGACAAUGGGGGCAACCCUGAUCCAGCCAUGCCGCGUGCGGGAAGAAGGCCUUCGGGUUGUAAACCGCUUUUGUUCGGGAAGAAAUCCUCUGGGCUAAUACCCCGGGGGGAUGACGGUACCGGAAGAAUAAGCACCGGCUAACUACGU